rnacentral:rRNA from 1 species
AUUGAACGCUGGCGGCAUGCCUUACACAUGCAAGUCGAACGGCAGCGGGGGAGAAGCUUGCUUUUCCUGCCGGCGAGUGGCGAACGGGUGAGUAAUACAUCGGAACGUGCCCUGUAGUGGGGGAUAACUAGUCGAAAGAUUAGCUAAUACCGCAUACGACCUGAGGGUGAAAGUGGGGGACCGCAAGGCCUCAUGCUAUAGGAGCGGCCGAUGUCUGAUUAGCUAGUUGGUGGGGUAAAGGCCUACCAAGGCGACGAUCAGUAGCUGGUCUGAGAGGCAGAUCAGCCACACUGGGUCUGAGACACGGCCCAGACUCCUACGGGAGGCAGCAGUGGGGAAUUUUGGACAAUGGGCGAAAGCCUGAUCCAGCAAUGCCGCGUGUGUGAAGAAGGCCUUCGGGUUGUAAAGCACUUUUGUCCGGAAAGAAAUGGCUCUGGUUAAUACCUGGGGUCGAUGACGGUACCGGAAGAAUAAGGACCGGCUAACUACGUGCCAGCAGCCGCCGUAA